rnacentral:lncRNA from 10 species
GUGUUUGUCAUGGCUCAGGAGGUCAACUUUGAAGCGGGGCAUUCCCUACAGGUAGGGAUCUGCCCGGAACGCAUCCCAUCCCAAACUGCAAAACCACAAGCAUCAACAGCAGGAGCCGAGCAAAGUGCUCGGCGGAGGAAGAGGAAGGGCGAGGGAGAGAAAUGGUCGAGUACAGAAGCCUGCGUGUGGGUAAGAAAAUACCCUAACCACUCGCCCACCGGACGCAGGGCGGCUGGGACUGCGAAUCCAGCAGCAGCCACAGCGUAGCAGCGGGCGGCAGCCGCCGAGGCAGCAAUGUCAGGAGGGCACAGCUGGAGGAGGCGGCCGCCAAAGCCACUACCCCACCCCCAGGUGUCUGUGUGCUUGUGAAGCGCUCCCUUGUUAGUUCCUUCUGUGAGACUCGGGGGAGACUGAAGAGGGAAAUCACCUGCGGGGAAUGAACAGGAAAGCAAUAAGAAGAUUUGGAAAAGAGGCACUGGCUACUGGAGGAAGGGAGAAAUCACCGAGAGAGCGAAAGAUGUAACAGAAAAAAAAGGCCUUAUGAAGACAUUGCAAAAGGACAACUAUCUGCAAACCAGGAAGACAGACCUCACCAGAAAUCAACCCUGCUGGUGGUACCUUGAUCUUAGACUUCCAGCCUCCAGAAGUAUGAGAAA